CUUGCUCUGGUGGAAAAUAUACUAACAUUGGAAUGAUCCAGAGAUUCACAUGACACCUGCACAAGGAGGUACACAAUUUCAUGAAGCAUUUUAUAUAUAU
ensembl:snRNA U6 U6 spliceosomal RNA